ACCUUUGUGCAGUGGCAGUAUUGUAGACAAUGAGGUUUAUCUGAGGGGCAAUUAUUGCUAAUUAAAUAUUAAACAUCUUGUUUACAGUUUCCAAGCUUUUAUUACAUCAUUUAAAAUACAAAUGUA
rnacentral:snRNA from 1 species